rnacentral:rRNA from 1 species
CGCAUCUGUGCAUGCAGCAUAUCAAUAAGCGGAGGAAAAGAAACUAACAAGGAUUCCCCUAGUAACGGCGAGUGAAGCGGGAAGAGCUCAAAUUUGAAAUCUUAAAGGGUUUCCCUUUACGAAUUGUAGUUUAAAGAAGUGUUUUCUGUUGAGGUUUUGGUAAAAGUUCUUUGGAAUAGGACAUCAUAGAGGGUGAGAAUCCCGUAUUUGACCUUUACUUUCAACUUUGUGAUACACUUUCAAAGAGUCGGAUUGUUUGGGAAUGCAGUCCAAAAUGGGUGGUAAAUUUCAUCUAAAGCUAAAUAUUGGCGAGAGACCGAUAGCGAACAAGUACCGUGAGGGAAAGAUGAAAAGAACUUUGAAAAGAGAGUUAAACAGUACGUGAAAUUGUCAAAAGGGAAGCGUUUGACACCAGUGUUGUUUUUCUGAAAAUCAAUUAAAGAACUGUUUAUGCUAAGUUGUUUAGACUUUAUCAGCUAACUGUUUAGUUUUGAGCUUUUCUUUAAUGCACUUUUCAGUUAACAAGUCAACAUCAAUUUCUUUUGCUGUAAAAAAGCUUGAGGAAGGUGGCUUGAGAUUCGUCUUAAGUGUUUAUAGCCUCUUGCCUAUGCAGUCGGAGAGAUUGAGGUCUGCAGCGUAGAUCCUUCGGGGCUAAAUGCAUUUGUGCUAAGUUAUAGCAUUUUAUAGACAACUUGUUGACUAUGAUUUGUCUUGUAGCUUACUCGCUUAUGUUAUUUUACCUACGCUUAGGAUGUUGAAGAUGUAGCACAUCAU